CAGUCGCCGCGGUAAUACGAGGGGGGCAAGCGUUGUUCGGAAUUAUUGGGCGUAAAGGGCGCGUAGGCGGUUUGGCAAGUUUCGUGUGAAAUCUUCGGGCUCAACUCGAAGUCUGCACGGAAAACUGCCGGGCUUGAGUAUGGGAGAGGUGAGUGGAAUUUCCGGUGUAGCGGUGAAAUGCGUAGAUAUCGGAAGGAACACCUGUGGCGAAAGCGGCUCACUGGACCAUUACUGACGCUGAGGCGCGAAAGCUAGGGGAGCAAACAGGAUUAGAGACCCCAGUAGUCCCUGUCUCUUAUAC
rnacentral:rRNA from 1 species